rnacentral:rRNA from 1 species
GACGAACGCUGGCGGCGUGCUUAACACAUGCAAGUCGAACGCUCGUGGCAACACGGGAGUGGCGGACGGGUGAGUAACGCGUGGGAACGUGCCCUGAGGUUGGGAAUAACUGCGGGAAACUGCAGCUAAUACCUGAUGAGCCCCGAGAGGGGGAAGAUUUAUCGCCUUGGGAGCGGCCCGCGUCGGAUUAGCUAGUUGGUGGGGUAACGGCCUACCAAGGCUUCGAUCCGUAGCUGGUCUGAGAGGACGAUCAGCCACACUGGGACUGAGACACGGCCCAGACUCCUACGGGAGGCAGCAGUGGGGAAUCUUGCGCAAUGGGGGCAACCCUGACGCAGCCAUGCCGCGUGAAUGAUGAAGGCCUUAGGGUUGUAAAGUUCUUUUGCCCGUGACGAUGAUGACGGUAACGGGAGAAUAAGCUCCGGCUAACUUCGUGCCAGCAGCCGCGGUAAGCAUACUCGUA